rnacentral:rRNA from 1 species
CCUACGGGCGGCAGCAGUGGGGAAUAUUGGACAAUGGGGGCAACCCUGAUCCAGCCAUGCCGCGUGUGUGAAGAAGGCCCUCGGGUUGUAAAGCACUUUCAGUGAGGAAGAACGCCUGGUGGUUAAUACCCAUCAGGAAAGACAUCACUCACAGAAGAAGCACCGGCUAACUCCGUGCCAGCAGCCGCGGUAAUACGGAGGGUGCGAGCGUUAAUCGGAAUUACUGGGCGUAAAGCGCGCGUAGGUGGCUUGAUAAGCCGGUUGUGAAAGCCCCGGGCUCAACCUGGGAACGGCAUCCGGAACUGUCAAGCUAGAGUGCAGGAGAGGAAGGUAGAAUUCCCGGUGUAGCGGUGAAAUGCGUAGAGAUCGGGAGGAAUACCAGUGGCGAAGGCGGCCUUCUGGAUUGACACUGACACUGAGGUGCGAAAGCGUGGGUAGCAAACAGGAUUAGAUACCCCGGUAGUC